rnacentral:rRNA from 1 species
GCCAGACUCCUACGGGAGGCAGCAGUGAGGAAUAUUGGUCAAUGGUCGGGAGACUGAACCAGCCAAGCCGCGUGAGGGAUGAAGGUACAGAGUAUCGUAAACCUCUUUUGUCAGGGAACAAAGGCGGGGACGUGUCCCCGGAUGAGUGUACCUGAAGAAAAAGCAUCGGCUAACUCCGUGCCAGCAGCCGCGGUAAUACGGAGGAUGCGAGCGUUAUCCGGAUUUAUUGGGUUUAAAGGGUGCGCAGGCGGUCUGUUAAGUCAGCGGUAAAAGCCCGGGGCUCAACCCCGGCGAGACGUUGAAACUGGGGAUCUUGAGUGGGCGAGAAGUAUGCGGAAUGCGUGGUGUAGCGGUGAAAUGCAUAGAUAUCACGCAGAACUCCGAUUGCGAAGGCAGCAUACCGGCGCCCGACUGACGCUGAGGCACGAAAGCGUGGGGAUCGAACAGGAUUAGAUACCCCGGUA